GACAGAGGUGCCGAGCGUUAGGCGGAAUCACUGGGCUUAACGCGUGUGUAGGCGGGUCGUUAAGUGCCUUGUGAAAUCCCACAGCUCACCUGUGGAACUGCUCGGCAUACUGGCGAUCUUGAGCCACUUAGGGGCAACCGGAACAAACGGUGGAGCGGUGAAAUGCGUAGAGAUCGGGAGGAACACCAGAGGCGAAAGCGGCUUUCUGGGCUGUAACUGACGCUGAGGCGCGAAGGCUAGGGGAGCAAACAGG
rnacentral:rRNA from 1 species